rnacentral:rRNA from 1 species
AGGUUACUGCUAUCGAGGUUCGACUAAGCCAUGCGAGUCGAAUGUAGCAAUACAUGGCGUACUGCUCAGUAACACGUGGACAACCUACCCUUAGGCCUGGGAUAACCCCGGGAAACUGGGAAUAAUACCGGAUAUCUCGCGAAUGCUGGAAUGCGUCGCGAUAGAAAGCUCCGGCGCCUAAGGAUGGGUCUGCGGCCUAUCAGGGUAGUAGUGGGUGUAAUGUACCUACUAGCCUACGACGGGUACGGGUUGUGAGAGCAAGAGCCCGGAGAUGGAUUCUGAGACACGAAUCCAGGCCCUACGGGGUGCAGCAGGCGCGAAAACUUUACAAUGCCUGCAACGGCGAUAAGGGGACCUCGAGUGCCAGGAUACAAUCCUGGCUGUCGUAAUGCCUAAAAAGCAUUGCAUAGCAAGGGCCGGGCAAGACCGGUGCCAGCCGCCGCGGUAACACCGGCGGCUCGAGUGGUAACCGCUAUUAUUGGGUCUAAAGGGUCUGUAGCCGGCUGACUAAGUCUCUUGGGAAAUCUGGCAGCUCAACUGUCAGGCUUUCAGGAGAUACUGAUCGGCUCGAGACCGGGAGAGGUGAGAGGUACCUCAGGGGUAGGGGUGAAAUCUUGUAAUCCUUGAGGGACCACCAGUGGCGAAGGCGUCUCACCAGAACGGAUCUGACGGCAAGGGACGAAAGCUAGGGGCACGAACCGGAUUAGAUACCCGGGUAGUCCUAGCCGUAAACGAUACUCGCUAGGUGUCGGCCACGGUGCGACCGUGGUCGGUGCCGUAGGGAAGCCGUGAAGCGAGCCACCUGGGAAGUACGGCCGCAAGGCUGAAACUUAAAGGAAU